rnacentral:lncRNA from 1 species
CAUCCCAGGCCACUGUCACCUGUGUCACCAGGCAGCUGGAACUGUCCCCAAUGUCCCCAAUGACCCCAAUGUCCCCAAACCCCAUCCCAGGUGCGUCCCCAGGUGUCCCCUCACCUGCCACCUGCACGGUGACCCUCAAUGGCACAUCCCAGGCCACGUGUGUCACCAGGCAGCUGGAGCUGUCUCAAAUGUCCCCAAUGACCCAAACUCUAUCCCCAGGUGUCCCCAGUGUCCCAAACCCUGUCCUCUCACCUGCCACCUGCACAGUGACCCUGAGUGGCACAUCCCAGGCCACGUGUGUCACCAGGCAGCUGGAGCUGUCCCCAAUGUCCCAAUGUCCCCAGUGUCCCCAAACCCCAUCCCAGGUGUGUCCCCAGGUGUUCCAACCCUGUCCCCAAUGUCCCAAACCCUGUCCCCUCACCUGCCACCUGCACGGUGACCCUGAGUGGCACGUCCCAUGCCACGUGUGUCACCAGGCAGCUGGAACUGUCCCCUGCUGUGCCUAACCCUGUCCCUGAUGUCCCCAAACCCCAUCCCAGGUAUGUCCCCAAUGUCCCCAGGUGUGUCCCCUCACCUGCCACGUGCACGGUGACCCUCAGUGGCACAUCCCAGGCCACGUGUGUCACCAGGCAGCUGGAGCUGUCCGUAAUGUCCCCAAUGUCCCCAAACCCUGUCCCCAAUGUCCUCAGGUGUCCCCAGUGACUCAAACCCUGUCCCCAAUGUCCCCAAUGUCCCAAACUCCAUCCCUGCUGUCCCCAGGUGUGUCCCCAGGUGUCCCCUCACCUGCCACCUGCACGGUGACCCUCAAUGACACAUCCGAGGCCACGUGUGUCACCAGGCAGCUGGAGCUGUCCCCUGCUGUGCCUAAACGUGUCCCUGAUGUCCCCAAACCCCAUCCCAGGUGUCCCCUCACCUGCCACCUGCACGGUGACCCUCAGUGGUGUGUCCCAUGCCACGUGUGUCACCAGGCAGCUGGAGCUGUCCCCAGUGUCCCCAAACCCCAUCCCAGGUGUGUCCUCAGUGACUCAAAUCCCAUCCUUGAUGUCCCCAGGUGUCCCCAAACUCUGUCCCCAGAGUCCCCAACUCCAACCCUUGGUAUCUCAAGAUCCUCCAAACCCUGUCCCAGGUGUCCCCAAUGUCCCCAAACCCUGUCCCUGAUGUCCCCAGGUGUCCCCAACUCCAAUCCUGGUGUCCCAAGAUCCUCCAAACCCUGUCCCAGGUGUCCCCAAUGUCCCCA